AUGGACUUAGAAGGUUUUAACACUACUUGUAAACUCCCUCAGUGGGGGGAUUUUAGUGAACCUCGCAAAUCUGAAUUUAGAGAAUUUCUUGCUAGUAUAACUGUGGGGGAAUCUAGGGAUGUGACGCAAGCUACUAUAGGGAGCAUUCAUUUUCCUGCUAUACAUUAUUCUGCUCUCUUUAUAGGUAGAUGGAUAAAUGGUAAAGAUGAGGCUUGUCACAUGUGUGUACCAGAUCUUAGCGUUCUCAGGAGUGCUGUUUUAGGAGAUAAACAAUACAACUUGAGGGCUAUUGUUGCACGUAGGUUGCAUAAUAAUCGUAUUCAUGGAGAUUUCUUUGGUGGAAUUUAUGCGACUCGUAUAGCUAACUUUCUUGAGAUACCCAUACGUGGAGAUGAUAUUGAGUUGCCUCCUUCUUAUUUAGAUUAUGAGGCUAUGGUUCGUCAUCAGUUUGUUGAGAGCAACGAUCAGUUCCUCCAGUAA
rnacentral:rRNA from 1 species